UUUGAAACUUGUCCACUCCUUACGGGGGAGACAGUCAUGAGACGUGAGUAUAAGACCUGAGUGUAAAGACCUUAGGGUGAAGCAAUUGGAGGGCAAGCUUUGGUGCCAGCAGCCGCGGUAACUCCAACUCCAAGAGUGUCUAUGGUGGAUGCUGCAGUUAAAGGGUCCGUAGUCGUGAAUGCAAUUAAAUGUCGUUGUUCAAUAGCGAUGAGUUUGCUAAUGUUUGCGGAACGGAUAGGGAGUGUAGUAUAGACUGGCGAAGAAUGAAAUCUCAAGACCCAGUUUGGACUAACGGAGGCGAAGGCGACACUCUUAGACGUAUCUUAGGAUCAAGGACGAAGGCAGGAGUAUCGAAAGUGAUUAGACACCGCUGUAGUUCCUGCAGUAAACUAUGCCGACAGCCUGUGUGUGAGAAUACGUGGGCGGGAGAAAUCUUAGUGUUCGGGCUCUGGGGAUAGUACGCUCGCAAGGGUGAAACUUAAAGCGAAAUUGACGGAAGGACACUACCAGGAGUGGAUUGUGCUGCUUAAUUUAACUCAACGCGGGAAAACUUACCAGGGUCAAGUCAUUCGUUGAUCGAAUACGUGAGAAUGGCAGGAGUGGUGCAUGG
rnacentral:rRNA from 1 species